rnacentral:misc_RNA from 1 species
UUUCCGUAGGUGAACCUGCGGAAGGAUCAUUCAUAAUAUGUGUUUUAUGGCACUUUUUUAAAUCCAUAUCCACCUUGUGUGCAAUGUCAGGGUUGGUCUCUUUUGAUCAGCCCCAAACAUCAACUAUUAUCUCAACUCUUUGUCUGAGAAAUAUUAUGAAUAAAACAAUUCAAAAUACAACUUUCAACAACGGAUCUCUUGGCUCUC